rnacentral:lncRNA from 1 species
GACAGGGCUGGGCAGGGCGGCUGAUAGAGGAGGGUGUAGCCAAUGGCCCUUUGGGGCUGGGUGUGUUUGCCCUGAGAUAGGCUUAUCAGGAAGGAUGGUAGUCCAGUCCCUGGGGAAGAAGUUAAGCUCCCUAAGUGUGCUAGCUUUGGGUGGUUUUCAGAUGCUUCUCAUGCAGGGCAACUGCUUAUUUUAACAUAAAAACAUUGCAUUUUGUUUGAGGCAUCAGCUCUACUUACUGAGAAAUGAUUGCCUCUCUUUGUACUGAUUGCAGAAAUAAAAUAGAUCUCCCAAAAAUGUGUUCUGGGCAAAAUCCGGUGUCCUUUUCUCAGUUUCCAUUUUUUGCAGCACUGGGGAUCAAACCCAGGGCCCCACUUUUCCUGUGAAAGCGCUUUGCCACUGAGCUACUUCCCCAGCCCUUAAUUUUUCCUUUUCACUCCGAGUAAGACAGGGAUGGCUUUCUCUGGAAACUCUUUUCCCCUGACUUCUGGGAUGUUCAACUUCUGCUGUCCUUUGGUCACUGCUUUUUCUCCUGUUACAUCUGCUCCCUUCCUACUGUCUCAGAUUACCUGCUCUUCCCCUUCUACCCUUCCUCAAGCAGUUUGCAUUGUCACAGGGUCACUCUGGCCUUUGGGGAAGUGGCUUUCACCUCUGGCUGGAGCCCUGGCCUGGUACUUCCUCUUCCCUCUGACUCAGAGGGCGCCAUGGAAAACCCCAGUGCCUCCCAGUUCUUCUGGAAGGGGCCCCCGCCCCCAUGUUCCUCUGCUCAUAGUGAAAAGGCACGUCCUGGGCUUGCCUCCUGAUGUCCUUUCUCAGUUGCCUCCUGCCAUCCGACCCGCCCUGUGCUUCUCUCCAGGGUCUCUGGGACUGCAUUCUUCCUCUGCCUCUGUGCUUAAUGUGCUGGUUUUCACACAGUUUUGCAACUUCUCUGACACUCUUCCCAUACGACGGUGACGUUGAAUUCCCCUCCUCUUGAGUAUGGGGCAGCUCCCAUGUGAAGAAUAGUUGGUGGCAGGGAUGCUGCUUUCUGGUGACCUUAGGCAACGUGCC